AUAUUCCAUAACUAGCUGCUGAUCGUAGUAACAACACAAGAAUAACCUGAAGCUGCAAAAUGCGCGUGUACGUGGCUGUACAGCUCUGGCUUCUGCUUCCGCAACCAGGUCUUGCACAAAGUGACUCCGUGGACCAGUCUCCUCCAGAAGUGAGAGUCUCAGAGGGGCAAAGUGUCACUUUACACUGUAAUUUCACCACCGCUGACCCAAACCCGUAUCUGUUUUGGUACCGGCAGUAUCCGAACCAGCCUCCCCAGCAUAUACUGACUAAAGCGAAGUUUGAUGCUCUGGAUCAGACGCUUGUCCAGGGAAAAUUCUCAGCAUCUUUGUACAUGGCUAAUAGGACGGUUCCCUUCCAGAUUGAGGCUGUUUCUCACCAGGAGAGCGCUGAGUAUUACUGUGCUCUGAGACCCACAGUGGGGGAGAACUGCACCUCCGCUCCUACAAAAAGUUGCUUAGGGAAACAUGAUAGAAUCGUAUAA